rnacentral:rRNA from 1 species
UUUUACCCUCUGAAUUUAAGCAUAUCAAUAAGCGGAGGAAAAGAAACCAACAGGGAUUGCUCUAAUAACGGAGAGUGAACAAGCAAAAGCUCAGUUUUGAAAGCCUGUUNUGCAGGCAUUGUAUUCUGAAGCCUAGAUUCUGGGAAACGGUGUUUAAGUCUUCUGGAAAGGAGCGCCRCGGAGGGUGAUAGCCCCGUACGGCACUGACCCCAUUGUAGUUUCUAGGCGNGGAGUCGAGUUGUUUGGGANUNCANNUCAAAUGGGAGGUAUGCUCCUUCUAAAGCUAAAUAUGUGCGAGAGACCG